GCUCCCGUAGUUCAAUGGACAGAACCACGGACUUCUAAGCCGUUGAUGUUGGUUCGAUUCCAACCGGGAGCACAA
rnacentral:tRNA from 1 species